CGGUCCUCCGGGCGUCGCUCCCCCGCCCCGCGGUUUCCCACACCCACACCCGGGUAGGAUCCCCAGGCUUUCUCCUUCCUCACCCGACGCGGUUGGAUGCAGAGAUUGGUUCAUCUCCUCAGGCUCCUUUUGAAAACAGCCUCACCUCGCGGUGAAUCUUACCUGCCAAAGGAAGAAUCCAAGGGAGGAAGAGUCGCUUUCGGCGGAGGCCUCAGGCCGCCUGUACCUCCGGCCAGGUGCCCCGAACAUCGACAUGGAGUGGUUCUUUCCAGCCCAGAGGAGCUAGGGGCGGUUCCCAGACAAGCUCCCAUUGCUCCUGCCAAGUACGAGCAGAGCCCUUUUCAUUUCCCAGACCCGCAUUCCGCCCUUCCGGAUCCACGGCUCCGCCAGUUUCUCCUGGCCUUGCUUGAGUCAGGCAUUCUGUCCUCUUCCUGCUGUCCCUUCCUGAGACAGCGGGUACUGAGCCACACUGCUGGUGGGUCUCGGUGGUGCCACGCAGGAGGAGCAGAGGGGCUGGAGAGGAGUUCACAGUUCCGAUUGAGGACCAGUCUUACCAACAAACCAAUGAAUUCUCCGAAUCCAGUAAAAGACACUUCAGAGACUCAUUCUAUACACAAGGAAACCCAGGUUCCUGACCUCAGUAGCUAUCGCUUAACCGUGGCCACAGUGAUGUUGUAAGACAGCCACAAAACUUCAGUGGCCUGAAGCAAUAUUAGCCAUACACUCUGUGUCAGCGGCUGGCUUCUCUGCUGGCCUCAUGGAGCUGCCAUAACCAGACAGGACGGUGGCCUCAGCAGCAGGACUCUUGUUUUCCCCCAGCUCCAGAAGCUGUAAGUCCACUGUCAUAUCAGCGACUUGGUCUGUCCUCUUCCGCACUCUUGGGCUGCUGAAUGCUGUGUUCUCACGUGGUCUCUCCUGGCACCUCUUCACAUGCCCACACGUUCUCUUAGGAGAACACAACUGGUACUGGAUCAGGGACCCCACCACUUCCUUUUAACUCAGUCACCUCUUCAAAAACUUUCCAGAUGUAGUUGCCUCAGGCUUCCACUGGUGCUUUCCAGGGAGUGGAGGCUGCAUGCCUGUCUGCCCCAGGACACAAGGCUGCUGCAUUGAUUUGUGAGUCAGCUGGAGGCUCUGCCCCUGUCCACUUGCUCAUUCCUGCAGCACAUGCUCAGGCCUGGGGUGCAUGAAGAGCUUCCAAGGUGGUGGAGAUCUGACCUUAGCUGGAUAAACACUGGACAUGCGGCUCCCAUACACUUUAACAGAGACAGGUUGAUGUUUCUGUACAUAUUUUUUGUGAGACAACACACAGUAACAUUGAAGCUUAACAGAAAACAAUUUGUAAUUUAUACAGUGAGAAAUUAUUGCCUCUAAUAAAAUAUCUAGAAAAAUGUCAAAGUAACGCAAGGCCCAAUUAGUACUAAAAAGAAAUAUGACAAAAAGCAAGUGUAUGAUAAAUACAAUGAAAAGAUGCUGCAUCUUGCAUUCAAGAAAUGUAAUUAAACACAAGAGAUGUAAUUGAUCUGCAGCUGGGAAAAUUGAAAUCAUUUGAAAUUUCAGCUUCCGUAUAUGUUCAUGGGCUGUAAAUCGGUACAACUUCCCAGAGAAGUGCUUAAUAUGUGUCAAAGAGGGCAAUACAGAUCCCCUUAACAGUUCUGUAAUGUAGGGGUAAAGGUGCCAAAAAAUGCAAAGGCAUUUGCACAAAAUUGUUAGUUGAAUAUUUAUUUAUGGAAGCAAGCAAUGAAAGUAUCUACAAGGGUACACUUGUAGACUGAUAUUUUAAAAGCUACUCAAAUCAAAUUUUACAUUCAUUUUCUUACAUGAGUUUUACAUUUUGUGUCACUUAAGGAAUUUGCCUAAUUUUAUAAAUUGUCAAAUUUAUUGUGAUAUAUUUCUUUAUAAUGGGCCCUUAUCUGUAUGAUCUCUUUGGGGUUUAUAAUGAUGCUUACUCUUUUAUUUCUGAUAUUGGUAGUCUGUGUCUUUUCUUCUCGGUCUGGUUAUCAGUUAACUUCAUUGAUUCUUUAAAGAAUGAGGCUUUGAUUUCAUUGAUUUUUCUCUAUUAAAUUUCUGUUGUAUUGAUUUUUCUUUCACCUGUAUGAUUUUUUUUCUUUCUGAUUCCUUAGGGCUCAAUCCCCUCACAUUUCUGACAUAUCACAGUAUCUUCCAGGGCUGCUGGCUCUUUGCCAUGAUACAUUACUUUCUUUUCUGACUGAGAGUUUGCCAUCUUUCUACUCUGGGAUUCCUCAGGGUGUGCUGAAGUUCCCUUCCUCUAGGGAGGAUUUAUGUUUGCUUCAGGUUCCUUGUCAGCUGAGGAGUCUUUCCAUGUGAACACUGGCUAAUGGCCACAAGUCCUCUAGUAAAUAAGUUUCCUCUGGCUGCUAAUACUGAGCUAGGUAAGUUUCUUGCUAGCUUCUCUGCUGUAGGUUUGGUUGUUGUUCAGUACGCCCCCAAAAUGUGUGUCUUUGAGAGCUCAGCACUGCUGGCAAAUUCCUGGUUAACUCGUCAAUCUAAAUUAGGGUUUCUUUUUUCCUGUUUCCCAAACCACACACAGCUGUCAAAUGGGAAGGGGUUGACACAUUCUCUUGAAAUAAUACCUAAGAUCAGCAUUCACUUAAAUCAUUUUGGGUUUCUUUCCUUUCUCACAAAAUCAGUGACUGGCUUGCAGGACUAGAGACCUUUAUUUUAACAUGUUAUAGGGUUUUAAAGCUGUUUUCCAAGGAGAGCUUUUUAGGCAGUAGUGUGUAAUGGUGCAGGAAGCAGAGCUGCUCCCUCCUCUGUGCCUGACUUUCUCCUUCUGCUCCACCGGACCUGUUGUGUGGCUUCCAAUGAAUGGUGUGAUGUGGAGGGUUGGCUGUGUCUCAAACAACAGUAUCAGCAUUGGAGGCAGGAGGGCAGGGAGAGGAGAAGAAGAUUGAUCAUUUUGAUAUCUUACAUUUUAUCAGGAAAAUAUUAACUUUGCUAGAUUAUUACUGACAGCUUGCUAACCAGCGUUGUGAGACAUGUCUGCUCCUGUUGCAAGGCAUCUGAGGGAUGAGCUGGACACACUGCAUCAUGAGGAACUGGCUCUGUUUUUAAGGAAGAAUGGAGAAGGGUUUCGCAGCAGACAGUUGGAAGUGCUUUCCACAGCCCGGAAUCAUCAACAUAACAAUGAUCACAGAGAUAUCUUCUCACUCUGAGCCAUACACAGUGACAGAUUCAACAUGUACAAUACAGGCCAAUGGCGUGCCACAGACUAGCAGCACUGUUGACACUUUGAGACACUUAUUUUCUCAAAGGGAGCUGUGCUGUGCGUCGCCAGCUGUUCAGCAGCACCUCGGUCUCUAACGAAAGGAAGCCAAUGACAAACCAGCCCCAAAGCUCUGAUAACCAGAUGUAUCUCAGGCACUCCCAGCCGUCCCCUUGAGAGUGGCCCUCCAGUGGAGACACGCCGGCAGGCAUGGAAGCUGACAGAUACAGUUGUGGACACACGCACGCGGCGUGUACCGAUGGGCACCUACGAGGGACUUACUCUUGUUGGCCUCCCACACUGCAUUUGUAGGUUUGGAAUCCCAGCUUCACGGGUCUCCCACCUUCACUGAAAGGUGCUUUAUUCCUAGCGAGUGCAGAUGAGCUCCGAUGAAGUCAUAAUCAGUCCAGAACCCACUCUCCGCACGGCCCUCCGUCCGGCUGACGCACACACGCCGUCCAGCCAGAACCCUGCUUCCUUCUGCCUUCACGGUCCUCCUUGAAGACUCCCACUUCUCCGGCUCCCGUUGUGGAGAACACGCGAGCCCGCAGCAGCAGGCGGCCCUCUCCCAGAUCCGGGAGGACGCGGCCGGACUCUUCGGGUGACCAACUGCCUUCUGCCCAGCCGCUCCUGCAGGCUCCUCACCUGCCGAACCCCGAUCACGUGACCCCUCGGUGCGGCCUGUGACUUUGGGGACCCCGCACAGGGAUGGUGUGUGGCCAGCACUGCCACACACAGGCCCAGAACUGGGGGAGUAUAAAAGCGUCUCCGAAGAGCAGGCCUCCCAGUGACCGUCUGAGGCCUGUUUGUGCUGCUCGUCAGCUUCCCUCUCUCUGGUGCGUCCACGUGACCUUUUUACAGUCUGUGUCCUGAAAGCGGUGCCAAUAAACCUUCUGCGUGCCUGUCAGAAUCGUCCCCACACUUUCAGGGAGAGUAGUAGGUGUGAGAAGUGGAUGUAAAGGGUGGGCCAAGAGGAAUGGACCUUCUCUUCUAAAAUCAAAACAGUAACAAAAGUCCUACACUAUUAACGAGCACAUUGGAAAUCGCUUUUUUAAAUUAUAUGACUUCCUAGUUGGAGUGCAGUAUACUGUUCUGAGCAAAGCUUGUGAAGCACCGGCGAACCCCUGGCGUCCUCUAGGCUCCCUGCUCCCUGGGCGAGGUUUGCCAGGACCACCAGCAGGGGGCAGCAGAGCCCGCCUUCUGGGGACAGAACCCCUUGGGGCUGUCGGGCCUCAGGCCGUUCCUUCGGGGAACAGCCUUGCUGAAGACUAAGGUCAGCUAAAUUGUCUCUCGGGGCGAGGAUUAGAAAUAAUACGCAUUUCCACUGAUCUUGAGAAUGGCUCCCGGAAGCAGGCCGAGAGGUGCAGAGGGGCCUGUCCUGGACAGAGCUGCCCUGCCCUGACGGCUGGCGCCCCUCACCGCCCCAGGGGCCUGGGGAAGCGGGGGUGUGCUGCUCACACGCUGUGCCUGCCAGCUGGUCCAGGGUUUUAAGCAGUCUCUGAAAACAUGUUUCCUAGUUUUUCCAUAAUGCUUUGCACAUAGGUUUAGCCCUGGCUGCCUUGUAUUUUAUUUCUCUUGCAAUGGCUGUACUUUAACAGAAGCACACUUAAACUGUCUAGUGUAUAAAACACAACUGACUUGUUUACUAACAUUAUACUAGAAAACAUUAUUCAUCUUAAUUAUUAUUCAUUUAAACAGUAUUUUUUUAUUUUCCAUGGAAACAAAUUACUGCGAUUGACUUUUUCCUUUCCAGCCCUCAGACCCCCAACUUCAUCUUCUGUUUAUUGCCCAAACCUCAGUGGGUGGCGCAUGGCAGAGGGCUCCACCCCCUUCCUUGCAGGCUGCCUUUACCAUUUGGUCAUUGAGCAUAUUUUCUGUAGGAUUUUUUUUUUUUAAAUAUACCGUCUUUCCGUUUCACAAGAGCAGUGAAUGAGGGUAGGAGUUUAAUGUCAUUGGAUGCUGUCUGACAUCUGUCGAGGGGACUCCAGGCUUUCCCUGCAGGCUCCUGAUGAUGUACAGGCGCAAAGCUGAUUUCUAACACUCGGAUCUCCAUCCUGUGACAGCCUACACAGCGGAUGGUCUGUGGAAGUACUGAGGCCGGGAGGCUGGGGAAAGCAGCAGCCGGGCUGUACAAGGGCCUAGGUGAACCACAGGACCCCUGAAACUAAAGGGGGGCUGUGAAGAUAGAAGGGAGGAGUCCUGGACAGGGAGUGCUGGUCCCCAGAUUCUGAGAACGGCUUGGUUUCUCCAGCUGAGACAGAAAACUUAGUGUGUGGCAGCUCAGGUGGGCAGGGAAGGAGGUUGGCCGUGACCGAUGUGGUGAAUCCACGGAGAGAUGCUCUUCUGAGCCACCCGUACUUCCUGGGGUGAAGUCGGCUUCUCUGUCCUACCUCACUGAUUGUUUCUCUUGCUCCACCCGUGUGCUGAGUCUGUCUUUGCUUUACCCAUCGCAGACACAGCUGUGUACCCUUCGUGCCAUGUGGUCUUCAGCCGCUUUCAUGAUUCACUGGCUACUGUGGGGUCUGCAUCUUCUGUAAAGAGCUGCUGUGGAACUCACCCGUUCAUUCAUCUAGAGCUUAGGUGACCUUUGUGGCAAGCCCUGUUAGCACUGAUUUAGUAUUUUUAAUGAUUAAAAACCUCUUUAUUAAGGAUGCAAUUUUAUCAUAUUACUUUCUUUCAGCUGUGAGUAAAACAACAUUAAAAAAUAACAAGUUGUCGCUCUUCCGUGGCUCUCGUUCCCCUCACGCAGGAUGGCCGACUCCUGGAGCUCCACCACACACAGUGGGCCUGUCCUUGACAAGGCUGCAUUGUGGGCUUAAAAUGUGCCACCAGGGUGAACCUCACCUUAGUGUCUUACCACAAUACAAGUGUAUUGCUCAAAUAGAGUAGAAGUUAAUUUAUCUUUCACGCAAAUGUAGAUAAGGCCGUUUUAUGGUCAUCGGAGCCCAGCUGUUUCUUCCUUGUACUUCUGCCAUUUUUAACACAUGGCUGCUACCUUGUGGUUCACAAUGGCUGCUCCUGCUCCGGCAAUCUGAUGCACAGUCCAGUCAGUAGGAAAAAGGAAAAGCAGCAGGAGUGUGCUCUUUCCUUGCAAAGAUGUGGCCAGGGAGUUGCACACAUCUUUCCAUUGAGUGUCCAUUGGAAAGAGUUCAUUCAUGUGAUCAUACCUCACUAAUGUUUAGUCUUUUAUGUGUGGUGUAUGUCUACCUAAAAUUUAGAAGCUUUUUUAUUUUUGGCUUUUCAUUUUGUAGUACUGAAUAUUGAGCCCCGGGCCUUCAUACUGAGCUACAUCCCUGGCCCUACUAUUUCUUUUUUUCUUUUGAGACAGUGUCUCAAAUCCUAAAUUCUUAGCCACAAAUUCUAAAUUGGUCAGGUUGGGCUCAAACUUGUUAUAUCCUCCUGCUUCAGCCUCCCAAAGUGUUGGGAUUUCAGAUAUGUGCCACCAAGCCCAACUAGAAGUCCUAUUAUUUAGGAAGAUGGAGAGAAAUAUCUAUUGGGUUAGAAAACCCCUAUGAAGGAUUACCCGGGCUAGAAAACUGACAAACCGGGAAUGUUUCAACCCUUCUCUCCCUGCAGGAAGGAAGCAGGAGGUGCUGUUUCCUAGAGCAGCAGAAAAGGUGAGGAGAGACGAAAACAGGAGAAAGCAGGCUUCAGAAGGAGAGGGGCGUAGCAGGCAGAGGGAAGGGCAAGCUCGGAGGCCCCAGCUGGGGCUGCUUGUGCUACACUUGAGGGGGACCCGGGACACCUGUGCAGAGAAAACGGGUGGGAGGGACAGCGAGGCCAGUUGGGCCAGCUGCACAGCGCUCCGCAGAAUUCAGAACGUCGCCGUCCCGGGAGAGCUUGAACAGCACGGUGAGGUCCCUGGAGGAGGGGAGGCAGGUUCUGUGCACACAUGGCCUGGCCCGGCUGUGAGUACAAACGGGACAACUCAGGGGACCACAGGCUGUGGGAAACACCACUGUGCGUGUCCUCCAUCUGCACUAUGCCCUCCACGGUCUCCAACCGCAGGAUCUUCGGUGUUCGUACCUCUCCGUCCUCCGCUAUCAACAGCGCAGCUUUAUUUUCAAUCUUCUGAUUUGCAUCACGAUUUCUGUUGAGUUCGCUCUGUUGCGGUUUCUCACUAGCUUUCAAGUUUUAUAAUGACAUUACUUCCUUUCUUACCUUUCUAUUAGUUCUUUCUGUGGGUUGCCUCAUUCUGUUAUACUAGAAUGUAUAGAAAAGAGUGAACGUGCACACACACACACGUGCACACACGUGUUUUUAAAGAUGUAGGCCAGUUGUAAUGCAAAAUAUCAUUUGUUUCCUUGAGUAUAUUGCCUUUCAGAGCAAUCUUCAGGUAGUGAGUACACACACUAUAUUUUUAGAUUACCUUAAUUAUGUCUAAUUCACAUAAAAUAAAUUGCUUCCACUUAUAAUCUGGAGUUCAUCGACUUUGUGCACAUGCAUAGAACCAUCAACACAAUCAAGAAAGAGAAUAUGUUCAUCACCCCCAAAUUCCCCCUGUGCCGUGACCCCGCUGCUCUUUAACUGACUCUGGGUUUGAGUUUGACUUUCAGCUAGUUCUGGCCCACUUGCAAUAACGCUGUACCCCUUCCUGGGUCCCCUCAGGUCCCUCUCCUGUCUUUAUAAUAUUGCCUUCAUUUCUUUCCUUUAUCCUAAGCUGUAAUCACACAAUGUAUUAUGGAUUCUAAACAAAUAGUUAUCUGUUAAAUAAAUGAAGGGUCAGGAAAGUGAAAUGUCUGAUUUUGUCUGCAUUUGUCUUUUCUCCGGUGAUCUUUUUCCUUUAUGUACAGGAAGUUUUUAACCUUUGUCACUUUACUUCUUUCUGAAGAACAUACCACUUCUUUCAAGGCACAAUGAACAUAUUUUCUCAGUUGUUUGUCCAGGAAAGUCUUUGUUUCUCCUUUACUUUUGCAGUAGAGGAUCUAUGUUUGGACACUUAUAAAUUGUUGAACUAUUUCCAUGCUUUAAAUAUGGCAUUAAAGUCUUUUCUUGCUUGUCUGAUUUUUGAAAAGAAGACUUAUGCCAGUCUUAUUCUUAUUUCUCUAUUUUUACAAAGUGCUCUUGUUCUCUGUCUGCUUUCAGAGCUUUGUCUUCCGUGUUCUGUCAUUUGCAUGCCUAGGUGUUGCUUUUGUGAUACUUUUCUUAGUUGGGGGUCUGUGAACUUCCAACAUCUAUGUUUUGGUGUCUACAUGAAUCUUGGAAAAUUCUCAAUCAUUGUUAAUUCUGUUCUUUCUUCUGCUCCCUUCUUACCCUCUGUUUUCCUGAUACACGUCUAUAAUACUUUUGGGAUUAUGGCAGUUCUUGGACAUUCUGCUCUGCUUGUCCUUCUUUCUUCUCUUGUCUGCCUUCCAGUCUGACAUAUCUUUAAGCUCCUGAAGUCUUGAAUGUGUGGGGAAUUCUUCCCCUAGUGUUUAAAUAUGGUUGUUUUUAGAAAAGUGAUUUAGAGAUGGGUGUGUUCCUUCACCUUAGUUCAAUGUUAAGGAACUCUUGGACAAACAGUACUGAUCUCCUUGAUCAGUUCUUUGGAGCCCUCUGCUCCUUACUUCAAUCUUUCUGAACUCUGGAGGUUUAUCCCGAGAGAGAAGCUGAGACAAUGGGGUGCAAAUCUUCAUUUCUAAACUUGUAUGUCUAGGUUUACCUGCAGGUUCCUGUUAGCUUUGACAAGUCCAGGGGAACGGGUCUACAUUGUCACUUGAAACUCUUGUGGUUCAAAUUUACAUUUGAUUAUUUUAGAGCAUUAUAUUAUAAGGUUAUUUUACACACCUCACUGAGGGUUCCUCUGGGAUAGGAAAUACGCGUUAUGCAAUUUUAUAUUACUGGGUCCCAAAGUGGAUUUGGAGCAUCGCAGAGACUUUUCUUCCUUUCGUAGCUGUAUAGUCAGUUGAAAUGUGCUGCUUUAAGAGUAGAUUUUUAAAGCUAGUGCCUUCUGAAGACAGCAAACUUCUUCUCACAAACAGUGCAAACUGGAAGACAGAAAAGCAGCAUUGUUAAGAUUCUGAAAAGUCUGGAAACCAGUAAACAGAUGUUCAAUAGUGGAGACAGAAACUGCCCCAUCACAACAGGUACCUGCGAUUUCCAGGCAGUGUAACAGGGCUGUUAAACUUCCAAAGUAUGCAUAUCCUCUCGUGGCUGUGUCAGCCAAAACGCUUGCCAGACUGACUGUCCCUAUGCUCGCAAAGUGCCGCUGAGAUAUAGAGAAUUCAGAGUACAGAAAAAGCAACGAAGCAAAAUUGCAAGACAGAAAAACAAACAGUUCUCAUUCAUGUAUUGAUUCUGGAGACCACCCAUCAGAAAUGUGUUCUGGAAAAUCUGCACAGUGAAGCAGCAACACCAAGCCCUUGUAUGGAUUCCUGCCCAGGACCUUCUGGAGCUGGGAAAUGAACAGCCCAGCACAGCAUAUCCCCCACCACCCUACCCAAGAGAGAAGAGGAAGGAGGUAGGCAGGGUGCUGGCACCCAUGGUGUUUUCACUGCCGCUGCCACCAGAUGCCCUGGCAUGGACCCAAUGCAGCGAGGGCAGCAGCAGAACAGAGACACCCUUCUCACCUCGUGGUCAGACAACCCUCUCUGUGAAGCAAAGUUGUCCCUUUAGUUGUGUGAAGUGUUUGUGAUGGUUUAUGCUUCCUAAGCUAAGGAUCACUUUGUUGGGACUCCAACCUACUGAAUUAAAUGAUUUGAAGAGUCAUUGCAAUUACUAAAAGACAGUACAGGCUCCUCUGCCUUAGAUGUGCAUAAUAAAUUCUUAACAGUUUCUUCCUUUGGCACUCUAUGGAUAAAAUUUUACCGUUCCACACUCAUGUCCUGGAUUAAGAGAAAAAUUAAUAUUGAUCGCAUCUCUUGGUGCAAAAACGAGAGGCUUCGCUUAACCUUUGUAACACUCCUCUGUGAAGGGAAACACUCUGUCCUCCUUUUGUGAAGGGCAGCAGGGGCACAAAGAACAGACUUACGCAAGGGCCUGGCUGGCCUGCGACGGUGCAAGUGUAAGCCCAGGCCUCCCCGUCCAAACCACAUUCCCUUUACCUCCCCCGAGGACGAGCCGAGAUUAGCACUAGUUCUUCAAACAGCUGCGUCUACUUUGGGGCAAGAGGAAGGACAAGACGCCCUGCGAGUCCUGUGGGAGUGAGUGGAGCUGCACUGGUGGGAGCGCAGUCUUUGGUGUGUGGGUUGGCAGGCGGUGGCGAUAUGCGGGAGAACAGGCUCCUGGGAAAGGGCCAGGGCUACCGGUGCAAUCAUGAGCUCACAGUUGCACACAUCCCUCACAAAGCCGACCACUGCGGUGUCUGAGGCCAGACUCGACAGCCACCUCUUUGCACCAGGGUUCCACCAUCAUGGGAGAAGGCAGCUUCGUUUCCAAGGCCCACCAUUUCUCUGAAGACCUUCGAUUUGGACUUUGUGCAGUGGUCCCUGGGAAGAAAUCCCUUGGAAAGGGCCUGGGAGGGGCCACAACAGCUACAACCAGGUGGAUUUAAUCUGAUACGAUGACUCAUGUGAUUCCACUUUUUCUCAAGCUUUCUAAAUUGAUCUGAGAGAGACUUAUUCUCUUCCCAGAGGUAGAAAUAAUUUAUGAUAUCCAUUUUAUUAUCUGGAAGCCUCCGUGUAGCUUUUAUAAUGGCUCAUGUUGUCUUUAUAGAUUUUUUUCUUGGGGAACAUUUUAAUCCAGGUGGAGUAAAUAAUAUCAAUCAUGUGGCUCAUAUAAUCAUUAUUGGCUUGGGUUUUGAUUGAUUUUUAAAUAUUGUUUUCUAUGCUGGAAGCAAUCUAGGGGAGUAGAAACAAUACCAGUCUGAAACACAGGAGCUGGGGAUUCCUGUCAGAUCUCUUCAGUGACGAGCUCACUGUUUCCCAAGCUCUCCAACACUGCUGCACUCCUGGGCCGUGCUGCUCUGGGAAUGCAGAGCAGGAAGGUUGGGAGGAGGAACCGAGUGUGUGCUCCGGGCAGCCCUGAGUGCCAGGAGCCUCCGGCACAGCUUUCCUUCUGUGUGGCUCAGACAUUGGCAAACUUCUCACCUGUGCUCCCUGGCCGGCCUGGUGGAAGGAUCUCCCUGAUCUGUUGACAGGAUUUGAUGACCAAGUUCAUACGGGGCACUUUCCAGAGGCCCUGCAGUGUGGCAGAGCUGGAAGUGUCAUUGUUCAUAAUGAUCACAUGCUCACUCCUCAGCCAAACUGCAGCUUCCUCUGCUCUGACCCUGGUUGUCCUUCGCUGCCCAGGGGAGAAGGGUAAGAAAGCUGAGUGGGUGCCGGGCUCUGAUGGCGCCGUGCUGACGAGGAGGCACUGUCGCCACAGGGCUCACGGUCCAGGGGCGAAGCACUGGGUCCUAAGCCCAGAUUUCCCUGACCCACUGUGACCUGGGAAAAGUCCCCUCUCUCUGGGUGAGGCCGUGCAGCAGCACCUUCUCUCUGGGUGAGGCUGUGCAGCAGCACACAGGGACUUUCUUGCUCAGAGGUUGCUUUCUGUCCCAGCAAUGAAGACAGCGACUCUGAUGAUGAGGAGGAGAGAACCAAUGAACUAACAGCCUGGACACAGAGUGGGUGGGAAAAGGGAGAGAGAUACCAAGAGCUGUUCACGGGCUAAAUCUGAGCAGCCGCUAAGAUCAGCAGCUCUUAAGACUGGGGGUGGCAUCAGGGAGGAGGUUAAGCCUUGAACGUGAUAAAUUUGAGAUGCCGAGCAGAUACAAAGGGAUAAAGUGAUGCUUGUGUGCAUGGGGCUUGGUGCAGGGAGACUGAGAAUGCUGGUGUAACCUGGGAGCCAUUGGCAGCCAACAAGCCCAGAGAUGCCAUGUGAUUACAGAAGAGACGUUCUCAGGAUUGAAGCCUGGACUCAGCUGGCGGGUCCCAGGGUGCGAAGGCAACAGAAAUCAGCAGCCCACAGUGAGGGGGGCACCCAGAGAAAACAGCGAAGAAAAUCCCAGGGAGGGGUAACCUUGGAAAAUGUUGGUGUGACAUCAGCCUUUUCCCUCACCUCCCAUAAAUCAGGUGAAACCAACAAGGAAAAUGAAAAGAAAGCUGUACACCACAUAUUUAGUGGAACCAGCAGACAGCUAUAACCACAAAGUAGGCAGAUUUGUGCCCGAUGUAGUGGAGUAUUGAACACGGCUGUGGGGAAGCAGGAAGGUGAAACCCACAGUUGCAUAUCCCAGAGCACAGGUGAAGCACAUUCCUUGGGGGGAGAUGCCAUGGUGCACAGCCAGGUCUUGGGGCUCAACCAGUGGCCAGAGCUCCCCAGAUGCCACUGGAUCAAGAAAAGGGAAGUAAACAGUGUACACCAUAAACACAAACUGAGUUUAAUUAUAUCAACAAGAAUGCAA